rnacentral:tRNA from 1 species
GGCUCUGUAGCUCAGUUGGUUAGAGCGCUGCACCGGAAUCGCAGGGCCGUAGGUUCAAUUCCUACCAGAGGAC